AUUGAACGCUGGCGGCAUGCCUUACACAUGCAAGUCGAACGGUAACAGGUUAAGCUGACGAGUGGCGAACGGGUGAGUAAUGCAUCGGAACGUGCCCGGUCGUGGGGGAUAACGCAGCGAAAGCUGCGCUAAUACCGCAUACGAUCUGAGGAUGAAAGCGGGGGACCGUAAGGCCUCGCGCGAUCGGAGCGGCCGAUGUCAGAUUAGGUAGUUGGUGGGGUAAAGGCUCACCAAGCCGACGAUCUGUAGCUGGUCUGAGAGGACGACCAGCCCCACUGGGACUGAGACACGGCCCAGACUCCUACGGGAGGCAGCAGUGGGGAAUUUUGGACAAUGGGCGCAAGCCUGAUCCAGCAAUGCCGCGUGCAGGAAGAAGGCCUUCGGGUUGUAAACUGCUUUUGUACGGAGCGAAAAGGCUCUCUCUAAUACAGAGGGCUCAUGACGGUACCGUAAGAAUAAGCACCGGCUAACUACGUGCCAGCCGCCGCCGUAA
rnacentral:rRNA from 1 species